rnacentral:tRNA from 1 species
GCGCCCAUAGCUCAACAGGAUAGAGCGCGGGACUUCUAAUCCCGGGGUUGGAGGUUCAAGUCCUCCUGGGCGCA